rnacentral:rRNA from 1 species
AUUGAACGCUGGCGGCAGGCCUAACACAUGCAAGUCGAGCGAGCGGCGGACGGGUGAGUAAUUUAUGGGGAUCUUCCCGAUAGAGGGGGAUAACUACUGGAAACGGUGGCUAAUACCGCAUACUAUCGGCUGAACCCAUAUGGGAUUAGCUAGUAGGUGGGGUAAAGGCUCACAUGGGCGACGCUCCCUAGCUGGUCUGAGAGGAUGAUCGGCCACACUGGGACGGAGACACGGCCCAGACUCCUACGGGAGGCAUCAGUGGGAAAUAUUGCACAAUGAGCGCAAUCCUGAUGCGGACAUGCCGCGUGUAUAAAGAAGGCAUUAGGGUUGUAAGGUACGUUCAGCGGGGAGGCGUUACCCGAAGAAGAAGCAACGGCUAACUCCGUGCCAGCAGCCGCGGUAAUUC